UGGUGGAGUGAUUUGUCUGGUUAAUUCCGUUAACGAACGAGACCUCAGCCUGCUAACUAGUCCUGCAAACCGGCUGCUGGUGAAGCGUGUACUGUGCGAGCUGCUCUAGGGUGGUUCGCCGAUGCGCGUGGACCCUUGACGAGUUUGUAGCUGACUUCUUAGAGGGACUAUUCUGUGCUUAACGAUUGGAAGUUUGAGGCAAUAACG
rnacentral:rRNA from 1 species